rnacentral:lncRNA from 1 species
CUCAGUUGGGUUUCUACCCAAUACAUCUAAAUUCAGACUUUGUAUGUCUCGAUUGCCACGUACAUCCAUCUUUAGGGUUUCAUUUCCAUGCAGAGUGGGCGUACCCAUAUUUAAUACUAUCAGUAUAUAUGUCUAAUUUAAAACACCUACUUACAUCAAUGAUUUCAGUGGAGUACAAUUAAAUUUUGUAGUUCUAUACCUCAGCUAUUUAGUCUGGAACACCAUGGGAAUACCUUUGGGAAGCUUGUCACAGCAACCAGUCCUAAUAAAUACUCCCUCUGUCCUGUCCUGUCCUGUCCUGUCUU